rnacentral:rRNA from 1 species
AGGGAACGAUGGAGGUAGGCCUAACACAUGCAAGUCGAACGGCAGCACAUGUAUAGCUUGCUCUUACGGGUGGCGAGUGGUGGACGGGUGAGGAAUACAUCGGAAUCUAUUUGUGCGUGGGUGAUUACGUAGGGAAACUUACGCUAAUACCUCAUAUGUCCUGCGGGUGAAAGCAGGGGAUCUUCGGUCCGUUUGUUCGUGAAUGAGUGGAUGUCGGAUUAGCUAGUUGGCGGGGUAAAGGCCCACCAAGGCGACGAUCCGUAGCUGGUCUGAGAGGAUGAUCAGCCACACUGGAACUGAGACACGGUCCAGACUCCUACGGGAGCACGCAGUGGGCACACUUGGACAAUGGGCGCAAGCCUGAUCCAGCCAUACCGCGUGGGAGAAGAAGGAAUUCGGGUUGUAAAGCCCUUUUGUUGGGAAAGACAAGAAACAGGUUAAUACCCCGCUGUUCUGACGGUACCCAAAGAAUAAGCACCGGCUAACUUCGUG